UGAGCAUAACCACAUGGAUUUCAUUCCUGGUGGACCUAAAAUCUGAGAGCCGUGGCUGUGGAGAGAAACUGCUACUUGGGAAUAAAAAUAGCCAGGCCACUUGCUCUGCUCCUGCUCUAUCUUCAAGUGGAAUUCCCUACAAAAUGCAGAUGGGCAGAAUUGGAAAAUCAGCAAAAGCAGAGAGGCUGACUGUUGUGGAAGUACCAUGGGGCGAGAGUGCCCUGGCUAAUAGGGGCUUUCUAUAAGACACAAGAAAUAACAAGAUCUGAUGUUUGGAAACAUCAUUCCCCUAUUCUUUCAUCCCACUGAUGAAGCAGAUGAGAGCCCUGACCCUCCCCUGGCGCUCCUCACAUGUACAGAGUACAGCUGGCCACUAAGCUGCUGGAUGAUUGCUGCUGAAGCUACGACACCUGACAAGCAGGCAGAAAUUGUAGGUGACAACAAAUGGGAAAAUUCACAGCAGCUCCAUGUUCGUGGCGAAACAGAAGGUGGCACUCCAUGGUUGUACAUGUGCUCUGGCUCUGGUACACACAGCGUUUCCAAAGCGAGCGUGCAUGUUGCCACAAGCUACAACUAACGUAAAGCAGGAAAUUCCAUGAACACCUGGAUCUGUUCGGGCUUAUCCUCCUGAGAGCUAAAAGACCACGUUUCUACAGACGUAUACAGAAGGGUUGGAAAAAGAAGCAGCAGUGACUAUAGAUUACGUGAUAAAAUCCUCCUGAGGAUGCAAGUGCUUUGGUCUAAGCAUGGAAUUAUUGCAUUGAAAGAGUCUCUGCCCUGCACAUGUGUAGCCAUUCGUAGACGUUAAACCAGAACGGAUCGCCGGGAACCUGUGGGUGAUGGCCAUAUCCCAGUGACCCAUUACAAGUUGUUUGGGAUGAUUAAGUUUUUCUGAACAGCCACUUCAUUGCUCUUUGCUGUCUCUGCAUUUGUUUCCAUAAAGUCAGGAACCUACAGGUGUAUCAAAGUGAAAUUUGCUACAGUUGAUACUUCUUCGACAUUUUCAAUCACAAGAAAUUCAGCUGAAGCCAAUGGGAUCAUUCCAGAGAGAGAUCAAAGUCAUGCUGUGAUAUCUAAAAAUGCAAAUUUCUAUGUGAAUAUGAAAGAGAUGUAAAAUGGAAAUGGUUUCCCGUUUGAUGUAUUUCAAGAG
rnacentral:lncRNA from 1 species